rfam:Rattus norvegicus chromosome 15, whole genome shotgun sequence.
GAGGACUUAGCUCAGUGGUAGAGCGCUUGCCUAGCAAGCACAAGGCCCUGGGUUCAGUCCUCA